rnacentral:rRNA from 1 species
AGCGAACGCUGGCGGCAGGCUUAACACAUGCAAGUCGAGCGGGCGUAGCAAUACGUCAGCGGCAGACGGGUGAGUAACGCGUGGGAACGUACCCUUUGGUUCGGAACAACACAGGGAAACUUGUGCUAAUACCGGCUAAGCCCUUACGGGGAAAGAUUUAUCGCCGAAGGAUCGGCCGGCGUCUGAUUAGCUAGUUGGUGGGGUAAUGGCUCACCAAGGCGACGAUCAGUAGCUGGUCUGAGAGGAUGAUCAGCCACACUGGGACUGAGACACGGCCCAGACUCGUACGGGAGGCAGCAGUGGGGAAUAUUGGACAAUGGGGGCAACCCUGAUCCAGCCAUGCCGCGUGAGUGAUGAAGGCCCUAGGGUUGUAAAGCUCUUUUGUGCGGGAAGAUAAUGACGGUACCGCAAGAAUAAGCCCCGGCUAACUUCGUGCCAGCAGCCGCCGUAAGAC